rnacentral:rRNA from 1 species
AAAGCUUGCUUUCUUUGCUGGCGACCGGCGCACGGGUGAGUAACACGUAUCCAACCUGCCCUUUACUCGGGGAUAGCCUUUCGAAAGAAAGAUUAAUACCCGAUAGCAUAAUGAUUCCGCAUGGUUUCAUUAUUAAAGGAUUCCGGUAAAGGAUGGGGAUGCGUUCCAUUAGGUUGUUGGUGAGGUAACGGCCCACCAAGCCUUCGAUGGAUAGGGGUUCUGAGAGGAAGGUCCCCCACAUUGGAACUGAGACACGGUCCAAACUCCUACGGGAGGCAGCAGUGAGGAAUAUUGGUCAAUGGGCGUUAGCCUGAACCAGCCAAGUAGCGUGAAGGAUGAAGGCUCUAUGGGUCGUAAACUUCUUUUAUAUAAGAAUAAAGUGCAGUAUGUAUACUGUUUUGUAUGUAUUAUAUGAAUAAGGAUCGGCUAACUCCGUGCCAGCAGCCGCGGUAAUACGGAGGAUCCGAGCGUUAUCCGGAUUUAUUGGGCUUAGAGGGAGCGUAGGUGGACUGGUAAGUCAGUUGUGAAAGUUUGCGGCUCAACCGUAAAAUUGCAGUUGAUACUGUCAGUCUUGAGUACAGUAGAGGUGGGCGGAAU